UACGUAGGGGGCUAGCGUUGUCCGGAAUCAUUGGGCGUAAAGCGCGUGUAGGCGGCCCGGUAAGUCCGCUGUGAAAGUCGGGGGCUCAACCCUCGGAUGCCGGUGGAUACUGUCGGGCUCGAGUACGGAAGAGGCGAGUGGAAUUCCUGGUGUAGCGGUGAAAUGCGCAGAUAUCAGGAGGAACACCAAUUGCGAAGGCAGCUCGCUGGGACGUUACUGACGCUGAGGCGCGAAAGCGUGGGGAGCGAACAGG
rnacentral:rRNA from 1 species